ensembl:lncRNA
AUGCAUGGUUCUGCUUCCACGAGCUCUGAUGUCUGCUUCUCCCUCCGGGGUUAUUUGCCGCAGGAGCAGGGAGACUCUAGGGACUGUCCUGCUACCCAGGCAGUGUUUGCUUCCCAAGGCAUUUAUCCCACAGGUUACCAAAAAAGAAUGGUGUGUCUUCACAGAGGAUCCUACACUUCGAUACCACUAGAAGAGGAAGAGACGUGCCUCUCCCCCAGUGACCAUGCUGUUUCUCGUCUAUGCAGUGUUGGCGCCCCCUUCCAGCACAGGACCGAAAAUGGCAGCCCAGGAGAAGGGAGCAAACCCUGCAUUUUUGAAUAAUGGGCAGAGUAACACAAGCAUGGGAGAAGCAGACGGGGCUGACAGAUUGCAGUGGCUGUGCCUAUGGAAGAUCUUCAAACGUUCCCCGCAGGUGUCCUAGACCUGACUAUUUGUCCCGGGCUUACAUCUGCAGCUCUCCUGUCAAGCAUUGAAGCUCUUACAUAAAUGUUGAAUAAAUAUAAUUUUGGUUGAAGUUAAGCAUGGUUAGUUUCUGUGGAUUGCACUGAAGAACUGUAACUAUGUUUGACAUAAGGUCCUGGAUUUACAAACAGGUGUGUGGUGCUACACUUGUCAUCAAUGACUAAACAACCUUAGUUGAAGAGAAAGAGAACAUGAGUGAGAGUACAAGCAGGAGGCAGAAAAUGAGCACAUGUGGGGUGGAAACAUAAGGUGAGAAUCCGAGUGAAGUUGGUAGUCAGGAGGCUGGGAUAGGGAAUCCUCCUCUUCACCAUCUUCACUCCUUGGCUUUGUUAAAUUCAUUGAUGGACAGCAUUGACUGUCAUGUGUCCACAGAGGCUGGAUCAUGGAGACAGAAGAAGAGAAAGUAUGGCUGUCAUGUUCAGAGGAUGUCCUGUCUAGUUGGGGAGGUGUGUGUCAUACACUAAAAAUGAGAAAGUCAUACCAAAGAGGACAUGGCUCAGUGUUAGACUUGGUGACGAUAACUUCAAGCCCUAUAGGUCUUCCAAGAAGAGAGAAGGGACAGUGGUAAGAUCAGAUAUUAGAGGGAACCUGGGGCAUCAUGAAUUCAGAACAACCUUUAAAUGUUGCCAAUUCAAUGAAAAUAAUCAGUUUGUUUCUUGGCAUUAUAUAGACCAAAAAUUAAAUCCUCUGACUCACAUCUUAAAAAUCUUAUUGCAUUUGGUAUUAUGGAUAUUUGUAGCCUGCCUGAAUUAGACUUAAUUAAAAAGAAUAAAUUGCCUAGUUAUCUGUUCAAAAUACACACACACACAAACACAUGCACACACACAUACACACACACCCCAAUAAUAGAAUUUACAUUUAAUUUUAUCCUCUAGUGAGAGAAUACAUGAACAGAAAGAGUAGAUUUCUUAAAAUUUUAAUUCUUAGAAGUAAUAUCUCCUAUGAAGAUGUAUUUCAAAAGUAGCUGACUCUUAUAUAGACGUUGCAAUGUACCAGCACUGUACUUUACACAUAAAUUAACUGAACUUUACAUAUAUACUAUACUUUACAUAUAUAUUAACUCAUUCAAUGUAUGCCGGUGAAUGUUAAACAGCGUUCCCCCUGGGUAGGGAGAAAGUGGAACACUGAUUUGUAGAGUCUGUCCUUUUCUGUGGUGUAAACCCCUGCGCUCACCUGGAUUUUAAGCUACCCUUGUGUUGUCGCAGGAGGCAGAAUUAGAAAGAUGAGCAGUCUUGGCUCUCGGGAGUCCCACAAAUCAGCAGGAGCACACCACGUGUUCUGACAUCUCAUGUGUGGGAGCCGUUCCGUUAGGGUCAUGUCCUCAUGAUUGAUAGGAGGUUCUGAAAAGGGAUUGAAGGGCUCAACUUGUCCAAUAUUCACAAUUAACAAUGUGAAAAAUGAGGCCCCCAGGUAGGUUAUUGAUAAACCCAGGGUCACACUAGCGAUUAAGAGCUGACCGUGGGACCUGGAGAGGCAACAGGCUGAAUUCAAAGCUAAAGGGUCAAGUUUCCAUUCAAAGGGCAGUCUAGCCCUGAAGGUGGUUCUGUUUUCUUAGUUGGGAGAGAUGUCCCAAUUUCAAGUCUCCUUUUCGUGUUUAUACACCAUUUCUGGUUGUUUCCUUCCCUGGAGAGUGCCUGGAUAAUCUUGUUGUUGCCUUCUAGUUUGUUUCUUGUACAAUAUAUAAAAAGACAAUUGAAUUAGCAGCAACCUGACCACUUAUUCCAUGCCUAUGUGACUACCUUUGGGAUGGCCUUUAGUCCCAAAUUAGCUUCCCCACAUUCUGUCACCAGGCCUGACACUUCACCACUUAUUCCUCUAGAUCUUAAAGAUUUUUCUGGCUUUCUAAGUCCAAUAACCUCCAAAGCUCCCGGAAGAAUUAUUUUGCCAUGUAUAUCAGGGAAUGUCCACUGACAGAAGCUGAGAAAAAGCUAUAGAAAUCAAAUAUGUCAGAAAUUCUUUAAAGUUCAUUAUCAAAAGCGGAAUUAAGAAAGCCCUAUAAACCAAGUUCAUAUAUUUAACACUUUUGCUUAUGUUUGGAGUUAGUAUCACAAAACUUUUCCAUAUAACAAGAUUUUAGUUGUGAAGUCUAUUGAAAUCUAAAAUAAAACUCUUAGGUAACUUUCAUGAACUAUAAGAAACGAUUUUUUCUUCUUUUUUGUCUCCCUUUUCAAAAUAAUGACUCGUUUAAGAAAUACCUUCUGUGUUGCUUUGUUUCUCAAAUGAUUUUUUCCUUUUCAUUAUUUUUUUCAGGAUGCUCAGUAAAGCAAUUGUUUUGUAAGGGCCUUGUUACCAAUGUAGAAUUGUGCUGUUUUGGAAACUGGUUUAAUUUUGGAUAUUCAUGGUGGGGGGGUUCAUUAUGCUUUUGAAAUAUUAGAGUGAACUGGCUGGUCAUCAGCGCUGUGAAAGGCAAUCCGCUCAGCUGCCUGCUUAGCCAGAUUGCUUCCUUUGGCAGACAACAUAGAGAGGAUAUUUGCUUUACCCAUGAAAUACAUAUUUAGCAUAGACAGUAAGCAUAACUUUACAUCCCUGAGUAGAGGAAAAAUGAUCUAUUUACUUUGAGACUCUCAAACCAAUGACCUUACAGAUCUCGAUAAAAAGUACAAAACAAAACAAACAAAACAAAAAACCCCACAGGAUUUGAUGGACGUCAUGGUAACCAGGAUCAUAGACUAUCAGCUGAAUAAUCUCCUAGCACACCCCUCCCCCCCACUCACAGAGUCAAUCCUCCUCUGCUUCCCGCACACCCUAUCCUACGGCUGCAGGAAAGAUGCCUCAGAUAGCCACCUUAAAUCAAAACCAAGAUAGUGCCCUUCUCCCAUUUCGGGAGAAUGAUUUCAUAACCCUUCACCAGCACCCUCCCUCCCAUGGUGGACAAGCCACUGUGCUCUCCACUUGCAGACACCCACCCCAAGCCCUGGUUCUUCUUGGCAUUGAUUUCUUGAUGGUUUGCUUUGCUCUUUUUCCAGAAAAGAAUUUAAAAAAUCAACAAAAGUGAAGAGAU